UUUUGGAAUUUUUUGGAUGUUUUGGAAUUUUGGAAUUUUGGAAUUUUUGGAAUUUUUAGAAUUUUUGGAAUUUUUAGAAUUUUUGGAUGUUUUGGAAUUUUAGAAUUUUUGGAAUCUUUGGAAUUUUUGGAAUUUCGGAAUGUGGAAUU
ensembl:ncRNA F40H3.11 ncRNA